UCUUACUUGCAAAAAAAAAAAAAAAAUGUUCUGCAGCUGGGCUGCACCUCAAUGAAUGAAUCGGUGUUCUGUGAGCCACCAUCAUCUACCAACUGGAUUUCCAUUUAUUCCCGGCAUCUAUCCCGAACAUAUGAAUCUGCUUAGAGAAAACCUUUUAAGGAGUUGAAAAUAUCAGGUCGGAGAAAAUGGCACAACGCGUGGUUUUCUUUCUGCUGUGGCUCUCGGACCAGUCCUUGGCCGGAUUUCCGAAUCAGAUUAACAUCGGGGGACUGUUCAUGCGAUCCACUGUGCAGGAGCACAGCGCGUUCAGGUUUGCUGUCCAACUCUACAACACCAAUCAAAACACCACUGAGAAACCUUUUCACCUCAACUACAAUGUCGACAAUCUCGAGUCGUCCAACAGCUUCUCGGUUACUCAUGCAUUUUGCUCCCAGUUCUCCCGCGGGGUGUACGCCAUCUUCGGAUUCUACGACAAGAAGUCCAUGAACACCUUGACCUCGUUCUGCGGUGCUCUGCACACCUCCUUCGUCACGCCCAGUUACCCCACCGAUAACGAGGUGCAGUUUGUCAUCCAGAUGCGACCGGCCCUCAGGGGUGCGGUGCUCAGCUUGCUCUCCCACUACAAGUGGCAGAAGUUUGUUUACCUCUAUGACACCGAUCGAGGUUUUUCAAUCCUUCAGGCCAUCAUGGAAGCAGCAGUGGCCAACAACUGGCAGGUGACUGCUCGCUCUGUCAGCAGCACAACAGACGCCGCAGAGUUCAAGCGCAUUAUUGAAGAGAUGGACAGGAGGCAGGAGAAGCGUUAUGUGAUCGACUGCGAGUUGGACCGCAUCAGUACUAUAUUGGAACAGGUUGUGACCCUGGGGAAGAACAGCCGUGGUUACCACUACAUUCUGGCCAAUCUUGGAUUUUCAAAUGUGAGUCUGGACAAAGUCUUCGCCGGAGGAGCCAACAUUUCAGGGUUUCAGAUCGUCAACCCUGAGAAUCCAAUUGUGCAGCAGUUCAUACAGCGAUGGGAGCGGUUGGAUGAAAGAGAAUUCCCAGAAGCACGAAACGCUCCUCUGAAGUACACCUCCGCCCUGACCCAUGAUGCCAUUCUAGUGAUUGCCGAGGCAUUCAGGUACCUAAGACGUCAACGCGUAGAUGUCUCACGUAGAGGCAGUGCAGGAGACUGUCUGGCGAAUCCCGCUGUUCCCUGGAGCCAGGGCAUAGACAUCGAAAGAGCUCUGAAAACGGUCCAAGUUCAGGGGAUGACCGGGAACAUCCAGUUUGACAACUAUGGCCGCAGGACCAAUUACACCAUAGACAUAUAUGAAAUGAAGACAGGUGGGCCGAGGAAGAUUGGUUACUGGAACGAGUACACACGAUUUGUAAAUAUUAUGGAUCCGCAGGUCUCCAACGACUCCUCAGUGGAAAACCGAACCAUUGUGGUCACUACUAUUAUGGAAGCUCCUUAUGUGAUGUACAAGAAAAAUUAUAUGCAUCUGGAGGGGAAUGAGAGAUAUGAAGGCUACUGCGUCGAUUUAGCAUCUGAGAUUGCCAAACAUGUUGGAAUUAAGUACAAACUGUCAAUAGUAAUGGAUGGCAAGUACGGAGCCCGAGACCCUGAGACCAAGACGUGGAACGGGAUGGUGGGUGAACUGGUCUAUGGGAGGGCAGAUAUAGCCGUUGCGCCUCUCACCAUUACUCUGGUUCGAGAGGAGGUGAUAGACUUUUCCAAGCCCUUUAUGAGCUUGGGCAUCUCCAUUAUGAUAAAGAAGCCACAAAAGUCCAAGCCUGGCGUGUUCUCCUUCCUGGACCCACUGGCCUAUGAGAUCUGGAUGUGUAUAGUGUUUGCCUACAUUGGCGUGAGCGUGGUCCUGUUCCUGGUCAGUCGGUUCAGCCCAUAUGAGUGGAACCUCGAGGAACAGGAUGAGACCAAAGACCCCCAGACUCCCCCCGAUCCUCCCAAUGACUUUGGCAUCUUCAACUCACUCUGGUUCUCACUGGGUGCCUUCAUGCAGCAGGGCUGUGACAUAUCUCCAAGGUCUCUUUCAGGGCGUAUCGUUGGUGGUGUUUGGUGGUUUUUCACCCUUAUCAUUAUCUCCUCCUACACUGCCAACCUGGCCGCCUUCUUGACCGUGGAGAGAAUGGUGUCGCCUAUAGAGAGUGCUGAGGAUCUAGCAAAGCAGACAGAGAUAGCAUAUGGCACUCUGGACUCAGGCUCAACGAAAGAGUUCUUUAGGCGAUCCAAAAUAGCGGUAUACGAGAAGAUGUGGUCAUACAUGAAAUCUGCAGAGCCCUCUGUGUUUGUUAAGACCACACCAGACGGUGUUGCCCGAGUGCGAAAGUCGAAGGGCAAGUUUGCCUUUCUCCUUGAGUCCACAAUGAAUGAGUACAUCGAGCAGCGGAAGCCGUGCGACACCAUGAAAGUGGGAGGGAACCUCGACUCCAAAGGCUACGGUGUGGCGACGCCUAAAGGCUCAGCAUUAAGAAAUGCUGUUAACCUGGCAGUUUUAAAACUGAAUGAGCAAGGCCUCUUGGACAAAUUGAAAAACAAAUGGUGGUACGACAAGGGAGAGUGCGGCAGCGGGGGAGGUGACUCCAAGAACUCCUGUAAACCUUGCAGUAUUGAAACUCAGUGAACAAGGCAUCUUAGACAAGCUGAAAAACAAAUGGUGGUACGAUAAGGGUGAAUGUGGAACCAAGGACUCUGGAAGUAAGGACAAGACAAGUGCUCUCAGCCUAAGCAAUGUGGCAGGUGUCUUCUAUAUUCUGGUUGGAGGGCUGGGGCUGGCAAUGAUGGUGGCUCUGAUAGAGUUCUGUUAUAAAUCAAGGCAAGAAACCAAACGGCUAAAAUUGGCCAAGAAUACCCAAAAUUUUAAGCCCGCUCCCCCGACCAACACCCAGAACUUUGCCACAUACAGAGAAGGCUACAACGUUUACGGA